UAGAUACCCUGGUAGUCCACGCUGUAAACGAUGUCGAUUUGGAGGUUGUGCCCUUGAGGCGUGGCUUCCGGAGCUAACGCGUUAAAUCGACCGCCUGGGGAGUACGGCCGCAAGGUUAAAACUCAAAUGAAUUGACGGGGGCCCGCACAAGCGGUGGAGCAUGUGGUUUAAUUCGAUGCAACGCGAAGAACCUUACCUACUCUUGACAUCCAGAGAACUUAGCAGAGAUGCUUUGGUGCCUUCGGGAACUCUGAGACAGGUGCUGCAUGGCUGUCGUCAGCUCGUGUUGUGAAAUGUUGGGUUAAGUCCCGCAACGAGCGCAACCCUUAUCCUUUGUUGCCAGCGGUUCGGCCGGGAACUCAAAGGAGACUGCCAGUGAUAAACUGGAGGAAGGUGGGGAUGACGUCAAGUCAUCAUGGCCCUUACGAGUAGGGCUACACACGUGCUACAAUGGCAUAUACAAAGAGAAGCGACCUCGCGAGAGCAAGCGGACCUCAUAAAGUAUGUCGUAGUCCGGAUUGGAGUCUGCAACUCGACUCCAUGAAGUCGGAAUCGCUAGUAAUCGUAGAUCAGAAUGCUACGGUGAAUACGUUCCCGGGCCUUGUACACACCGCCCGUCACACCAUGGGAGUGGGUUGCAAAAGAAGUAGGUAGCUUAACCUUCGGGAGGGCGCUUACCACUUUGUGAUUCAUGACUGGGGU
rnacentral:rRNA from 1 species